UACGGAGGGUGCAAGCGUUGUUCGGAAUUACUGGGCGUAAAGCGUGCGUAGGUGGUUUGUUAAGUCCGAUGUGAAAGCCCUGGGCUCAACCUGGGAACUGCAUUGGAUACUGGCAGGCUAGAGUGCGGUAGAGGGUAGCGGAAUUCCCGGUGUAGCAGUGAAAUGCGUAGAUAUCGGGAGGAACAUCCGUGGCGAAGGCGGCCCCCUGGACAUUAACUGACGCUGAGGAGCGAAAGCGUGGGGAGCAAAC
rnacentral:rRNA from 1 species